GACGGAGGGUGCAAGCGUUGCUCGGAAUCAUUGGGCGUAAAGGGUGCGUAGGCGGUCUGUUACGUCUGCUGUGAAAACCCGGGGCUUAACCCUGGGCUUGCAGUGGAUACGGGUAGACUAGAGGCAGGUAGGGGAGAAUGGAAUUCCCGGUGUAGCGGUGAAAUGCGCAGAUAUCGGGAGGAACACCGGUGGCGAAGGCGGUUCUCUGGGCCUGACCUGACGCUGAGGAGCGAAAGCGUGGGGAGCGAACAGG
rnacentral:rRNA from 1 species